rnacentral:rRNA from 1 species
UACGAAGGGGGCUAGCGUUGUUCGGAAUUACUGGGCGCAAAGGGCGCGUAGGCGGCGUGUCAAGUCAGGCGUGAAAGCCCCGGGCUCAACCUGGGAACCGCGCUUGAGACUGGCAUGCUCGAGUUCGGGAGAGGAUGGUGGAAUUCCCAGUGUAGAGGUGAAAUUCGUAGAUAUUGGGAAGAACACCGAUGGCGAAGGCAGCCAUCUGGACCGACACUGACGCUGAGGCGCGAAAGCGUGGGGAGCAAACAGG